AGCAAAGGCUAACAUUGCCUCACUGGAGACACCAACUGAUAUGGGUGUUAAUGUUAAUCCAGAGAAGGUGAGACGAGGUCCAAAACCAUUGAGAGUCUACUACAGAAAGAAUUUUAAGAAGAAGGAAGAUUCUGGAAUAGGACAGCUGGAAGGGAUUAAUUUGAAGGUUAUUCAGUUAGAGGGAAUCUCGGAUGGCACUCCUGACACUUCCUAAAGCAGCAGUAAAGAUAUAAAUAAG
rnacentral:misc_RNA from 1 species